rnacentral:rRNA from 1 species
AUUGAGUUUGAUCCUGGCUCAGAAUCAACGCUGGCGGCGCGCUUAACACAUGCAAGUCGCACGAGAAAGUGGAGCAAUCCAUGAGUAAAGUGGCGCACGGGUGAGUAACACGUGGAUCAUUUACCUUCUUGUGGGGAAUAACCCUGGGAAACCGGGGUUAAUACCGCAUAAGUCCGAGAGGAGAAAGCCGCAAGGCGCAAGGAGAGAAGUCCGCGGCCGAUUAGCUAGUUGGUAGGGUAAUGGCCUACCAAGGCGACGAUCGGUAGCCGGCCUGAGAGGGCACACGGCCACACUGGCACUGAAACACGGGCCAGACUCCUACGGGAGGCAGCAGUGGGGAAUCUUGCACAAUGGGGGAAACCCUGAUGCAGCGACGCCGCGUGAACGAUGAAGCCCUUCGGGGUGUAAAGUUCUUUCGACGGGGACGAUAAUGACGGUACCCGGAGAAGAAGCUGCGGCUAACUACGUGCCAGCAGCCGCGGUAAUACGUAGGCAGCAAGCGUUGUUCGGAAUUACUGGGCGUAAAGAGUGCGUAGGCGGUUGGCUAAGUUUGGUGUGAAAUCUCCCGGCUCAACUGGGAGGGUGCGCCGAAAACUGGCCGGCUAGAGUGUGGGAGAGGUAAGUGGAAUUCCUGGUGUAGCGGUGAAAUGCGUAGAUAUCAGGAGGAACACCUGCGGUGUAGACGGCUUACUGGACCAUGACUGACGCUGAGGCACGAAAGCGUGGGGAGCAAACAGGAUUAGAUACCCUGGUAGUCCACGCCCUAAACGAUGCAAACUUGGUGUGCGCCCUUCAUUGGGUGCGUGCCGUAGCUAACGCGUUAAGUUUGCCGCCUGGGGAGUAC